AGUGAACGCUGGCGGUAGGCCUAACACAUGCAAGUCGAACGGCAGCACAGUAAGAGCUUGCUCUUACGGGUGGCGAGUGGCGGACGGGUGAGGAAUACAUCGGAAUCUACUUUUUCGUGGGGGAUAACGUAGGGAAACUUACGCUAAUACCGCAUACGACCUACGGGUGAAGGCAGGGGAUCUUCGGACCUUGCGCGAUUGAAUGAGCCGAUGUCGGAUUAGCUAGUUGGCGGGGUAAAGACCCACCAAGGCGACGAUCCGUAGCUGGUCUGAGAGGAUGAUCAGCCACACUGGAACUGAGACACGGUCCAGACUCCUACGGGAGGCAGCAGUGGGGAAUAUUGGACAAUGGGCGCAAGCCUGAUCCAGCCAUACCGCGUGGGUGAAGAAAGCCUUCGGGUUGUAAAGCCCUUUUGUUGGGAAAGAAAUCCAGCCGGCUAAUACCUGGUUGGGAUGACGGUACCCAAAGAAUAAGCACCGGCUAACUUCGUG
rnacentral:rRNA from 1 species